AGGAAUUGCUCAAAUCUCCAAUCCUUAAAUUUAAACUUCUGUGACCAUAUAUCAGAUCGAGGACUGGUACAUAUUGGAGGCUUCUCAAGGUUGACAAGUUUGAGUUUUAGGAAAAACAGUGAAAUUACUGCUCAAGGGAUGAACGUUUUUGCUCAUCUUGUAAACUUGAUCAGAUUGGACUUAGAGAAAUGUCCUGGCAUUCAUGGGGGACUUAUUCAUCUCCAAGGAUUAACGAAGUUGGAGUCUCUUAAUAUCAAAUGGUGUAAUUGCAUCACAGAUUCUGAUAUAAAGCCUCUCUCCGG
rnacentral:misc_RNA from 1 species